rnacentral:rRNA from 1 species
GGCGGACGGGUGAGUAACACGUGGGCAACCUGCCUGUAAGACUGGGAUAACUCGUGGAAACGCGAGCUAAUACCGGAUAACACUUUUCUUUACCUAAGGAGAAGUUGAAAGGCGGCUCUUUUAGAGCUGUCACUUACAGAUGGGCCCGCGACGCAUUAGCUAGUUGGUAGGGUAAUGGCCUACCAAGGCGACGAUGCGUAGCCGACCUGAGAGGGUGAUCGGCCACACUGGGACUGAGACACGGCCCAGACUCCUACGGGAGGCAGCAGUAGGGAAUCUUCCGCAAUGGACGAAAGUCUGACGGAGCAACGCCGCGUGAACGAUGAAGGUUUUCGGAUCGUAAAGUUCUGUUGUUAGGGAAGAACAAGUACCGUUCGAAUAGGGCGGUACCAUGACGGUACCUAACGAGGAAGCCCCGGCUAACUACGUGCCAGCAGCCGCGGUAAUACGUAGGGGGCAAGCGUUGUCCGGAAUUAUUGGGCGUAAAGCGCGCGCAGGCGGUUUUUUAAGUCUGAUGUGAAAUCUUGUGGCUCAACCACAAGCGGUCAUUGGAAACUGGAGAACUUGAGUACAGAAGAGGAGAGUGGAAUUCCACGUGUAGCGGUGAAAUGCGUAGAUAUGUGGAGGAACACCAGUGGCGAAGGCGACUCUCUGGUCUGUAACUGACGCUGAGGCGCGAAAGCGUGGGGAGCGAACAGGAUUAGAUACCCUGGUAGUCCACGCCGUAAACGAUGAGUGCUAGGUGUUAGGGGGUUUCCGCCCCUUAGUGCUGCAGUUAACGCAUUAAGCACUCCGCCUGG